AACGGGUGAGUAACACGUGGGUAACCUGCCCAUCAGAAGGGGAUAACACUUGGAAACAGGUGCUAAUACCGUAUAACAAUCGAAACCGCAUGGUUUUGAUUUGAAAGGCGCUUUCGGGUGUCGCUGAUGGAUGGACCCGCGGUGCAUUAGCUAGUUGGUGAGGUAACGGCUCACCAAGGCCACGAUGCAUAGCCGACCUGAGAGGGUGAUCGGCCACAUUGGGACUGAGACACGGCCCAAACUCCUACGGGAGGCAGCAGUAGGGAAUCUUCGGCAAUGGACGAAAGUCUGACCGAGCAACGCCGCGUGAGUGAAGAAGGUUUUCGGAUCGUAAAACUCUGUUGUUAGAGAAGAACAAGGAUGAGAGUAACUGUUCAUCCCUUGACGGUAUCUAACCAGAAAGCCACGGCUAACUACGUGCCAGCAGCCGCGGUAAUACGUAGGUGGCAAGCGUUGUCCGGAUUUAUUGGGCGUAAAGCGAGCGCAGGCGGUUUCUUAAGUCUGAUGUGAAAGCCCCCGGCUCAACCGGGGAGGGUCAUUGGAAACUGGGAGACUUGAGUGCAGAAGAGGAGAGUGGAAUUCCAUGUGUAGCGGUGAAAUGCGUAGAUAUAUGGAGGAACACCAGUGGCGAAGGCGGCUCUCUGGUCUGUAACUGACGCUGAGGCUCGAAAGCGUGGGGAGCAAACAGGAUUAGAUACCCUGGUAGUCCACGCCGUAAACGAUGAGUGCUAAGUGUUGGAGGGUUUCCGCCCUUCAGUGCUGCAGCUAACGCAUUAAGCACUCCGCCUGGGGAGUACGACCGCAAGGUUGAAACUCAAAGGAAUUGACGGGGGCCCGCACAAGCGGUGGAGCAUGUGGUUUAAUUCGAAGCAACGCGAAGAACCUUACCAGGUCUUGACAUCCUUUGACCACUCUAGAGAUAGAGCUUCCCCUUCGGGGGCAAAGUGACAGGUGGUGCAUGGUUGUCGUCAGCUCGUGUCGUGAGAUGUUGGGUUAAGUCCCGCAA
rnacentral:rRNA from 1 species